UCAGGGUGGGCUGACACUAUGAUCGGCAAUCCAUCUUCUCCUGGUUGCUCGGCAAAAAAUCUUCUAUCCUUUUCGAUGGCUUCUUUCAUCCGCGUCGAGAGGCAUUCCGCCUCGAUCGACGGGUUAGAUCCCACUAUGUACUCAGUCCAUUUCUGAGGCCACUUUUCCAAGCCUCCUCCAUACAGUAUUACACAUACUGGUUCUUCAUGUCGUCCCAGAGGGUCUGGAUUAGACCCCUCUUGUCUGGUUCCUUCCGUAGGAUGACCAAGUUCGGGGUCCGUUCUUCUUACACCGCUAGCCGUCUCUUUAAUGAAUAGCAGUAUUUCCAGUUGUAGGGUCGAGCUGUCUCUUUUCGAAGCCUUUCCGUGCGCACUCGGAAUAGGGACGAUACAGCUUUUAGUUACUCAGCGGCGCCCUUUGCGUCGCCUCUACUCAGAACACCAAUGUGAGAACUCCUGCCUCGCUAAUUGAUGCUCUCAACGGCGGGAUGCACUCUUUUUUUUUUUCUGAUUAUCCCACCAGGUUAUUCUACUGACAGGAUAUUCUAACAAGGGUAUAUUCAACAGCAAAUUGCAAUUCAAACGUUAUUGUAGCGAACAGGAACUGACGGCUAAUCAUCAGCCCCAAGCCACUGAGCCUUCCAAUUCUUGGGAACCUGUAAAUCACAGAGGGUCGCCAACAGUUAAGAGUCAUGAACCACACAAGCC